AACAAUAUUGUCAUAUUUUUUGAUUUUUUCUCAAAAUCUAAGUGUUAACCCCUACAAAAUAUUAAGUUUUUCGGUAAUGGUUAAUAUACUGAGGCCUAUAAUCUUUAUUGUUGUUUAAAAAAUUUUAACCACAUUCUAAAUUUGUAUUAAAGUAUUCUAAACUCUCUUUCAUGGUACAUGGACAUUGUUAUUGUUUUUUUAUCAAUUAAUUUAGUAAAACUUCAUAUCACCCUAAAUCAAAGGAUAAACCACAAUAAAAUCGUUAUUUUAGAGAAAUGGAGGCAACAAAAGUUCCAAACCUCUCUCACCAUCAUCAUAUGUUAAUUUAUGAUACAACUAUGCAUUAAAACAAUAUUGUCAUAUUUUUUUGAAUUUUUCUCAAAAUCUACCUGUUUAACCCCUUCAAAAUACUAAGUUUUUAGGUAAAUGGUUAAUAUACUGAGGCCUAUAAUCUUUAGAGUUGUUUUAAAAUUUCUAAUCACAUUCUAUAUUUGUCUUAAUGUAUUCUAAACUAUCUUACAUGGUACAUGGACAUCGUUCUAUUUUUUUUCAAUUAAUUUAGUAAAACUUCAUUUGCUCCAAUUUUGUUUGACAAACCACAAUAAAAUCGUUAUUUUAGAGAAACGGAGACAACAAAGGUUCCAAACCUCUCUCACCAAUACUCCUUAAAUGAAAGGACAAACCACAAUAAAAUCGUUAUUCUAGGGAAACAGAGACAGCAAAGGUUCCAACCCUCUCUCACCAUCAUCAUAUGUUAAUUUAUGAUACAACUAUGCAUUAAAAAAAUAUUGUCAUAUUUUUUGAAUUUUUCUCAAAAUCUAAGCGUAAACCCCCUACAAAAUAUUAAGUUUUUCGGUAAAUGGUUAAUAUAUUGAGGCCUAUAAUCUUUAGUAUUGUUUAAAAAUUUCUAACCAUAUUCUACAUGUGUAUUAAAGUAUUCUUAACUCUCUUUCAUGGUACAUGGACAUUGUUCUUGUUUUUUAUCAAUUAAUUUAGUAAAACUUCAUAUUCACCCUAAAUCAAUGGACUAACCACAAUAAAAUCGUUAUUUUAGAGAAACGGAGACAACAAAUGUUUCAAACCUCUCUCACCAUCAUCAUAUGUUAAUUUAUGAUAGAACUAUGCCUUAAAACAAUAUUUUCAUAUUUUGUUUUAUUUUUUCUCAAAAUCUAUGUGUUAACCCUUACAAAAUAUUAAGUUUUUAGGUAAAUGGUUAAUAUACUGGGGCAUAUAGUAAAAAAACAAAAACAAGAACAAUGUCCAUGUACCCUGAAAGAGAGUUUAGAAUACUUUAAUACAAAUGUGAACCUCUCUCACCAUCAUCAUAUGUUAAUUUAUGAUACAACUAUGCAUUAAAACAAUAUUGACAUAUUUUUUUAUUUUUUUAUUUUUUCUCAAAAUCUAUGUGUUAACCUCCUACAAAAUAUUAAGUUUUUAUGUAAAUGGUUAAUAUACUGAGGCCUAUAAUCUUUAGUGUUGUUUAAAAUUUCUAACCACAUUCUACAUUUGCAUUAAAGUAUUCUAAACUCUCUUUCAAGGUACAUGGACAUUGUUCUUGUUUUUUAUCAAUUAAUUUAGUAAAACUUCAUAUUCUCAAUAAAUCAAAGGAUAAACAAGUAAAAAAACCCCUACAAAAUAUUAAGUUUUUCGGUAAUGGUUAAUAUACUGAGGCCUAUAAUCUUUAGUGUUGUUUAUAAAAAUUCUAACCACAUUCUACAUUUGUAUUAAAGUAUUCUAAACUCUCUUUCAUGGUACAUGGACAUUGUUCUUGUUUUUUAUCAAUUAAUUUAGUAAAACUUCAUAUACUCCUUAAAUGAAAGGACAAACCACAAUAAAAUCGUUAUUUUAGAGAAACGGAGACAACAAAAGUUCCAAACUUCCCUCACCCUCAUUAUAUGUUAAUUUAUGAUACAACUAUGCAUUAAAAAAAAAAUUUCAUAUAUUUUGAAUUUUUCCCAAAAUCUAUCUGUUAACCCCUGCAAAAUAUUAAGUUUUUCGGUAAAUGGUUAAUAUACUAGAGCUAAUAAUCUUUAGUGUUGUUUUAAAAGUUCUAACUAAAUUCUACAUUUUUAUUAACGUAUUCUAAACUCUAUUACACGGUACAUAAGCAUCUUUCAAUUUUUUAUCAAUUAAUUUAGUAAAACUUCAUAUAUUAAUGUAUUCUAAACUCUCUUACAUGGCACAUGGGCAUCGUUCUAUUUUUUUAUCAAUUAAUUUAGUAAAACUUCAUAUUCUCCCUAAAUCAAAGGACAAACCACAAUAAAAUCGUUAUUCUAAGGAAACAAAGAAAACAAAGGUUCCAAACCUCUCUCACCAUCAUCGUACGUUAAUUUAUGAUACAACUAUUUUUUGAAUUUUUCUCAAAAUCUAAGCGUUUACAAAAUAUUAAGUUUUUUGGUAAAUGGUUAAUAUACUGAGGCCUAUAAUCUUUAGUUGUGUUUAAAAAUUUCUAACCACAUUAACAUGUGUAUUAAAGUAUUCUAAACUCUCUUUCAUGGUACAUGGACAUUGUUCUUGUUUUUAUCAAUUAAUUUAGAAAAACUUCAUAUUCACCUUAAAUCAAAGGACAAACCAAAAUAAAACAUGGGUAUCGCUCUUUUUUUAUCAAUUAAUUUAGUAAAACUUCAUAUACUCCUAAAAUUAGUUGACAAACCACAAUAAAAUAGUUAUUCUAGAGAAGCGAAGCAACAAAUGUUCCAAACCUCUAUCACCAUCAUAAUAUGUCAAUUUAUGAUACAACUAUGCAUAAAAACAAUAUUGUUAUAUUUUUUUGAAUUUUUCUCAAAAUCUAUGUGUUAACCCUUACAAAAUAUUAAGUUUUUCGGUAAAUGGUUAAUUUACUGAAACCUAUAAUCUUUAGAGUUGUUUUAAAUUUUCUAAUCAUAUUCUAUAUUUUUAUUAAUGUAUUCUAAACUCUUUUACAUGGCACAUGGGCAUCGUUCUAUUUUUUUAUCAAUUAAUUUAGUAAAACUUCAUUUGCUCCCAAAUUUUGUUUGCCAAACCCCAAUAAAAUCGUUAUUUUAGAGAAACGGAGAUAACAAAGGUUCCAAACCUCUCUCACCAUCAUCAUAUGUUAAUUUAUGAUACAACUAUGCAUUAAAACAAUAUUGACAUAUUUUUUUAUUUUUUUAUUUUUUCUCAAAAUCUAUGUGUUAACCUCCUACAAAAUAUUAAGUUUUUAUGUAAAUGGUUAAUAUACUGAGGCCUAUAAUCUUUAGUGUUGUUUAAAAUUUCUAACCACAUUCUACAUUUGCAUUAAAGUAUUCUAAACUCUCUUUCAAGGUACAUGGACAUUGUUCUUGUUUUUUAUCAAUUAAUUUAGUAAAACUUCAUAUUCUCAAUAAAUCAAAGGAUAAACAAGUAUAAAAUCGUUAUUCUAGGGAAACAGAGACAACAAAGGUUCCAAACCUCUCUCACCAUCAUCAUAUGUUAAUUUAUGAUAAUACUGUGCAUUAAAACAAUAUUGUCAUAUUUUUUGAAUUUUUCUAAAAAUCUAAGUGUUAAUAUAUGUGUUAAUAUUUUUUUUCAUAUACUGAGGUCUAUAAUCUUGUCAUAUUUUUUUGAUAAAACUGUGCAUUAAAACAAUAUUGUCAUAUUUUUUGAAUUUUUCUAAAAACCUAAGUGUUAAUAUAUUUUUUGAAUCUUUCUCAAAAUCUAUGUGUUAACCCCUACAAAAUAUGUCAAUUUUUCGGUAAAUAGUUAAUAUACUGAGGCCUAUAAUCAUUAGUGUUGUUUAAAUAUUUCUAUCCACAUUCUACAUUUGUAUUAAAGUAUUCUAAACUCUCUUUUAUGGUACAUUGACAUUGUUCUUGUUUUUAUCAAUUAAUUUAGUAAAACUUCAUAUUCUCCCUAAAUCAAAGGACAAACAACAAUAAAAUCGUUAAUCUAGGUAAAUGGUUAAUAUACUGAGGUCUAUAAUCUUUUAUGUUGUUUAAAAUUUUUUAACCACAUUCUACAUUUGUAUUAAAGUAUUCUAAGGACAAAUAUUAAGUUUUUCGGUAAAUGGUUAAUAUACUGAGGUCUAUAAUCUUUUAUGUUGUUUAAAAAUUUUUAACCACAUUCUACAUUUGUAUUAAAGUAUUCUAAACUCUCUUUUAUGGUACAUUGACAUUGUUCUUGUUUUUAUCAAUUAAUUUAGUAAAACUUCAUAUCACCCUAAAUAAAAGGAUAAACCACAAUAAAAUCGUUAUUCUAGAGAAACGGAGACAACAAAGGUUCCAAACCUCUCUCACCAUCAUCAUAUGUUAAUUUAUGAUACAACUUCGCAUUAAAACAAUAUUGUCAUAUUUUUGGAAUUUUUCUCAAAAUCUAUGUGUUAACCCCUACAAAAUAUAAAAUUUUUCGGUAAAUAGUUAAUAUACUGAGGCCUAUAAUCUUUAGUAUUGUUUAAAUAUUUCUAUCCACAUUCUACAUUUGUAUUAAAGUAUUCUAAACUCUCUUUCAUGGUACAUGGACAUUGUUCUUAUUUUUUAUCAAUUAAUUUAGUAAAACUUCAUAUUCUCCCUAAAUCAAAGGACAAACAACAAUAAAAUCGUUAAUCUAGGUAAAUGGUUAAUAUACUGAGGUCUAUAAUCUUUUAUGUUGUUUAAAAUUUUUUAACCACAUUCUACAUUUGUAUUAAAGUAUUCUAAACUCUCUUUCAUGGUACAUGGACAUUGUUCUUUUUUUUAUCAAUUAAUUUAGUAAAACUUCAUAUUCUCCCUAAAUCAAAGGAUAAACCACUAUAAAAUCGUUAAUCUAGGGAAACAGAGACAACAAAGGUUCCAAACCUCUCUCACCAUCAUCAUAUUUUAAUUUAUGAUACAACUUUGCAUAAAAACAAUAUUGUUAUAUUUUUUUGAAUUUUUCUCAAAAUCUAUGUGUUAACCCUUACAAAAUAUUAAGUUUUUCGGUAAAUGGUUAAUUUACUGAAACCUAUAAUCCUUAGAGUUUUUUUAAAUUUUCUAAUCAUAUUCUAUAUAUGUAUUAAUGUAUUCUAAACUCUCUUACAUGGUACAUGGGCAUCGUUCUAUUUUUUUAUCAAUUAAUUUAGUAAAACUUCAUUUGCUCCCAAAUUUUGUUUGACAAACCACAAUAAAAUCGUUAUUUUAGAGAAACGGAGACAACAAAGGUUCCAAAUCUCUCUGACCAUCAUAAUAUGUUAAUUUAUGAUACAACUAUGUAUUAAAACAAUAUUGUCAUAUUUUUUGAUUUUUUUCUCAAAAUUUAUGUGUUAACCCCUACAAAAUAUUAAGUUUUUUGAUAAAUGGUUAAUAUACUGAAGCCUAUAAUCUUUAGUGUUGUUUUAAAAUUUCAAACCACAUUCUACAUUUUUAUUCAAGUAUUCCAAGGUCUCUUACAUGGUACAUGGGUAUCGCUCUAAUUUUAUCAAUUAAUUUAGUAAAACUUCAUACGCUCCCAAAAUUAGUUGACAUAACACAAUAAAAUCGUUAUUCUAGAGAAACGGAGACAACAAAGGUUCAAAACCUCUCAGACCAUCAUCAUAUGUUAAUUUAUGAUACAACUGUGCAUUAAAACAAUAUUGUCAUAUUUUUUGAAAUUUUCUCAAAAUAUGUGUUAACCCCUACAAAAUUUUAAGUUUUUCGGUAAAUGGUUAAUAUACUGAAGCCUAUAAUCUUUAGUGUUGUUUAAAAAUUUCUAACCACAUUCUACAUUUGUAUUAAAGUAUUCUAAACUCGCUGUCACGGUACAUGGACAUUGUUCUUGUUUUUUAUCAAUUAAUUUAGUAAAUCUUCAUAUUUUCCCUAAAUCAAAGGACAAACCACAAUAGAAUCGUUAUUCUAGGGAAACAGAGUCAACAAAGGUUCCAAAUCUCUCUCACAAUCAUUAUAUGUUAAUUUAUGAUACAAAUAUGCAUUAAAACAAUGUUGUCAUAUUUUUUGAAAUUUUCUCAAAAUCUAUGUGUUAACCCUUGCAAAAUAUUAAGUUUUCGGUAAAUGGUUAAUAUACUAGUGCCAAUAAUCUUUAGUGUUGUUUUAAAAUUUCUAACUACAUUCUACAUUUGUAUUAAUGUAUUCUAAACUCUAUUACAUGGUACAUGUGCAUCUUUCAAUUUUUUAUCAAUUAAUUUAGUAAAACUUCAUAUCACCCUAAAUAAAAGGAUAAACAACAAUAAAAUCGUUAUUUUCGAGAAACGGAGACAACGGAAGUUCCAAACCUCUCUCACCAUCAUCAUAUGUUAAUUUAUGAUACAACUAUGCAUUAAAACAAUAUUGUUAUAUUUUUUUAUUUUUUCUCAAAAUCUAUGUGUUAACCACCACCUACUAAAUAUUAAGUUUUUAGGUAAAUGGUUAAUAUACUGAGGCCUAUAAUCUUUAGUGUUGUUUAAAAAUUCUAACCACAUUCUACAUUUGCAUUAAAGUAUUCUAAACUCUCUUUCAAGCUACAUGGACAUUGUUCUUGUUUUUUAUCAAUUAAUUUAGUAAAACUUCAUAUUCUCCCUAAAUCAAAGGAUAAACCAGUAUAAAAUCGUUAUCCUAGGGAAACAGAGACAACAAAGGUUCCAAACGUCUCUCACCAUCAUAUGUUAAUUUAUGAUAAAAAUAUGCAUUAAAACAAUAUUGUCAUAUUUUUUUUAUUUUUUCUCAAAAUCUACGUGUUAACCCCCCCACAAAAUAUUAAGUUUUUCGGUAAUUGGUUAAUAUACUGAAGCCUAUAAUCUUUAGUGUUGUUUAAAAAUUUCUAACCACAUUCUACAUUUGUAUUAAAGUAUUCCAAGCUCUCUUAAGCUACAUGGACAUUGUUCUUGUUUUUUAUCAAUUAAUUUAGUAAAACUUCAUAUUCUCCAUAAAUCAAAGGAUAAACCAGUAUAAAAUCGUUAUCCUAGGGAAACAGAGACAACAAAGGUUCCAAACGUCUCUCACCAUCAUAUGUUAAUUUAUGAUAAAAAUAUGCAUUAAAACAAUAUUGUCAUUUUUUUUUUAUUUUUUCUCAAAAUCUACGUGUUAACCCCCCCACAAAAUAUUAAGUUUUUCGGUAAUUGGUUAAUAUACUGAAGCCUAUAAUCUUUAGUGUUGUUUAAAAAUUUCUAACCACAUUCUACAUUUGUAUUAAAGUAUUCUAAACUCUCUUUCAUGGUACAUGGACAUUGUUCUUGUUUUUUAUCAAUUAAUUUAGUAAAACUUCAUAUCACCCUAAAUAAAAGGAUAAACAACAAUAAAAUCGUUAUUUUCGAGAAACGGAGACAACGGAAGUUCCAAACCUCUCUCACCAUCAUCAUAUGUUAAUUUAUGAUACAACUAUGCAUUAAAACAAUAUUGUCCUAUUUUUGAUUUUUUUCUCAAAAUCUACGUGUUAAACCCCCUUACAAAAUACUAAGUUUUUAGGUAAAUGGUUAAU
rnacentral:lncRNA from 1 species